CAAAAGCCAAAUCUUCGAAACCUUAUGAGAUGUGAUAGGGUUACAAGGGUAAAACAGGAACUCAGAAUAAAAAUAAGUUAAUCGAGAAAGCUCCAAAUAAACACCACUCGUCCGCCUCUCUGUCUCUCACCAAAAUAAAAAACUCAAUCUCUCUCUCUCUCUCUCCAUCGAGAAACACUAAACUGCUAUAAUCAUUACCUCUCUUCGAUUUCUCAAACCCUAUCUGGCUCUCUACCCAUAUGCUUCAGAUCCGCAUUAAAAAAGCUAAGUUUUUUGUUAUGUCCUUCUUUCUUAUUUGAUCAGUUUGUUCUUGUUUCACGAUUUUAACCUGAGAUUUUUUAUAUAUUUUCUCCAGAUCUGCUAUCCGCAGUCAUCUGUUCAUAGGAAAAGAUCUGGCUUUACUUUUAGAGAUUAUCUCAGAUCCAGCCUUUUACCCAAUUGAAGUGUGCAAAAGUAAGUACCCCCCCACCUCUGUUCCUCACGGUUUUUCUGCAAAGGACCCACCCUCCUUGAACUUCAGCGUCCAUCACAAUGUCCCCAUCAUCAUCAAACCUGUACAAGCCAGUGGCGAUCCUAACAUUGUAGAAGUUGAUAGCAUUUUUGCAAGUGGAGGGAGCACUUGUGUUUCUCCACGUAUUGCUGUCUUGAUUAAAGCGGUUGUCAACUCUGUAAAGUCCCUCUACUUCAAUAGGUAUGGUAAAUGAGUUUGAUUCUGGGAAUAGGUUGUGGUUGUUAUAAAGAAUGCUCCACUCAGCAGCGUUGAGCCAGCGCUGUGUUGAUGUUUGAAGCACAGCUGCUACAUCUGUCAAAAAUAGCAACCAAACAUAUGAGAUUUAUAUAUAUAUUAUAAGCAACUGUUUUAUUCUGAAAUUUUUAAAUCUUGCCUUAAUUGUACAAAUUCCAUAGAUCUAGGAGACUAUUCUAAGAUUCCAUAGAUCUGUAACACUGUGCUACGAUUUCUACACUGUUCUAAGAUUCCAUAGAUC
rnacentral:lncRNA from 1 species